UUCUUUUACUGUUAGAGUUCAUCCUGUUGUCAUUAGGCAUGCCUUACUACAAAGUCUCUUAUUUAAUCUAAAUGUAGGGACAUAAUAGAUUUUUAUCCUUCUAAAACUCAUCUUUUAGCUAUGGCGACUUUGACUUCCUGCCAAAAUCCUGUUACCCUAGCAACAGCAAAUGAAGAAACACCCCUGCCGCCAGUGUGACAAGUCUUUCAGCUCGUCCCACAGCCUGUGCCGGCACAACCGGAUCAAGCACAAAGGCAUCAGGAAAGUGUACGCCUGCUCGCACUGCCCAGACUCCAGACGUACUUUUACCAAACGUUUGAUGCUGGAGAAGCACGUCCAGCUGAUGCAUGGCAUCAAGGACCCUGACCUGAAAGAAAUGACAGAUGCCACCAAUGAGGAGGAAACAGAAAUAAAAGAAGACACUAAGGUCCCCAGUCCCAAGCGGAAGUUGGAAGAACCAGUUCUGGAGUUCAGGCCUCCCCGAGGAGCGAUCACUCAACCACUGAAAAAGCUGAAAAUCAAUGUUUUUAAGGUUCACAAGUGUGCCGUG
rnacentral:sRNA from 1 species